GUGGGGAAUCUUGCGCAAUGGGCGAAAGCCUGACGCAGCCAUGCCGCGUGAAUGAUGAAGGUCUUAGGAUUGUAAAAUUCUUUCACCGGGGACGAUAAUGACGGUACCCGGAGAAGAAGCCCCGGCUAACUUCGUGCCAGCAGCCGCGGUAAUACGAAGGGGGCUAGCGUUGCUCGGAAUUACUGGGCGUAAAGGGCGCGUAGGCGGACAGUUUAGUCAGAGGUGCAAGCCCAGGGCUCAACCUUGGAAUUGCCUUUGAUACUGGCUGUCUUGAGUACGGGAGAGGUGAGUGGAACUCCGAGUGUAGAGGUGAAAUUCGUAGAUAUUCGGAAGAACACCAGUGGCGAAGGCGACUCACUGGCCCGUUACUGACGCUGAGGCGCGAAAGCGUGGGGAGCAAACAGGAUUAGAUACCCGUGUAGUCC
rnacentral:rRNA from 1 species